rnacentral:rRNA from 1 species
ACGUAGGCAGCUAGCGUUGUUCGGAAUUACUGGGCGUAAAGCGAGUGUAGGCGGUUUGCCAAGUCCGUUGUGAAAUCUCCCGGCUCAACUGGGAGGGUGCGGCGGAAACUGGCAGGCUAGAGUGCGGAAUGGGAGAGUGGAAUUCCUGGUGUAGCGGUGAAAUGCGUAGAUAUCGGGAGGAACAUCUGUGGCGAAGGCGACACCCUGGACCAGCACUGACACUGAGGCACGAAAGCGUGGGGAGCAAACAGGA